GGACCGGUAGUUCAGAUGGUUAGAAUACCGGCCUGUCACGCCGGGGGUCGCGGGUUCGAGUCCCGUCCGGUCCGCCA
rnacentral:tRNA from 1 species